rnacentral:rRNA from 1 species
ACGAUGAACACUAGGUGUUGGGGGAGUCGAAUCCCUCGGUGCCGCAGCCAACGCGUUAAGUGUUCCGCCUGGGGAGUACGGCCGCAAGGCUAAAACUCAAAAGAAUUGACGGGGGCCCGCACAAGCAGCGGAGCAUGUUCUUUAAUUCGAUGCAACGCGAAGAACCUUACCUGGGCUUGACAUGGUGCUGCAAGCGCACGGAAACGUGUGACCUUCGAGGGUGCACCACAGAUGCUGCAUGGCUGUCGUCAGCUCGUGUCGUGAGAUGUUGGGUUAAGUCCCGCAACGAGCGCAACCCCCGUGGUGUGUUGCCAGCAUUAAGUUGGGGACUCACACCAGACUGCCGGUGACAAACCGGAGGAAGGUGGGGAUGACGUCAAGUCAUCAUGGCUCUUACGCCCAGGGCUAGAAACGUGCUACAAUGGCGCAUACAAUGGGUUGCAAGACCGCGAGGUGGAGCGAAUCUCAUCAAAGUGCGUCUAAGUUCGGAUCGCAGUCUGCAACUCGACUGCGUGAAGGCGGAGUUGCUAGUAAUCGCGGAUCAGCAUGCCGCGGU